rnacentral:RNase_P_RNA from 1 species
CCAAGCAACCACGUGUUCGCUCUGAUUGCAAAAUCAGGGAGGAAAGUCCGGACACCACAGAGCACCAUAGCGGGUAACGCCCGCCCAGUGGGAAUUACACACUGAGGACCAGUGCCACAGAAACCAAGUACGCUGCGUGUCGGUUCGCCGGCAAGCAGGCAGUAGUGAAAAGGGUAAACUCUAUGGGGUGCAAGGCCAAAUAGGUCUUGUGAAACCAUUUUGGUUAUUGGUCUGCUCGACCAAUUCGUCUUCGGGCGGCACAAGAUGGGUAGGCUGCUCCAGGCAACUGGCAACAGUUGUCGCAGAUGAAUGAACACGCGUUCGUAAGAACGACAGAAUCCGGCUUACCGGUUGCUUGUAUUC